GAAAUGCGAUAAUUAAUGUGAAUUGCAGAAUUCAGUGAAUCAUCGAGUCUUUGUACGCACAUUGCGCCCCCUGGUAUUCCGGGGGGCAUGCCUGUCCGAGCGUCAUUGCUGCCCUCAAGCACGGCUUGUGUGUUGGGCUUCCGUCCCUGGCAACGGGGACGGGCCCAAAAGGCAGUGGCGGCACCAUGUCUGGUCCUCGAGCGUAUGGGGCUUUGUCACCCGCUCCCGUAGGUCCAGCUGGCAGCUAGCCUCGCAACCAAUCUUUUUAACCAGGUUGACCUCGGAUCAGGUAGGGAUACCCGCUGAACUUAAGC
rnacentral:misc_RNA from 1 species